UUCUCAGCAAGAAAAGGCAAAGAACCCAUUUCAGAGUUCAGAGCGAGCCACGGCUCACUGGUGUUGGGUAUGUGACAGAAGCCCGAAUUGGAACAUAAGACCCAAAUCUCCCCUGAAUGGGAGAAACAAGAGUGGAAGCUGGAGUUCCUUGUAGAAACCUACUUUUCUAAUUUCAACAUCGAAUCCAAAGAGAACACUUGUGCAUCUCCCCGGCAUCAACAAGAAAAUCUGAAAGAAUUUGGAAUCACUCUGGUUUUAAUCAAAAAGGAAUUCCAAAAAAGAGGACCAGGAAG